CUUACAAAAAGCGAGGAUUAACUUAGCUGGUUGAGUUGCGACUUCGUGCACUUUCUUGCUAAUGGUGUAUUAUUUUGAUGCGAACUAAAAAAAACUCUAAAUAGAAGAAGGGUCAGCUGAAGAUUCUCAAUGGCUUGGAAAAUGGAGGUCUCUUAGACACAAAAUAUCGUAUGACGAGACUGGUUCUCUGUAUCAAAUGUACAAUGAGAGAACUGCGCGUCUCUUUUAAGGGUCCCGUUAUGAGGCUUUUAUAAAGACGUGUGCUAUGCAUUCAGACUUUUUGAUUUUCGUAUAGCCCGUAUUCAUGAUAUUUCCAGCUAAACACACUUUCUAUGAUUAGCCUUUUCAAUGGCAGUACAGAAUGAUCUAAGAGAUCCUGCACUAAUAAAAACUGUUACUUUGCAAAUAUUAAAGAUCUUUUGAUACGUCACUGAUGCGCACUUUGUUUUCUUCCGCACGGCUAUGAUUAAUAAUCCCGUAUAGUAAGCCGGGGAGCGCGCAAGUGGUUUCAUUUCAGGGCCAAAAGUCUCACUGUCAUGCACCCGGGUACAACAGAAUUUCACUCGUGACCUAGGCUCAACCAGGACUACAACCAAAUGAUGAGGAACGGACGCCCUGCAAAGAACAGCACUUUCGUGAAUCUUUUGGUUUUAACGUGCCGGUACUUUCGUAUUUACGUUGUCAGGUGACGCACCCGGGUAGCACUUCGUCAAGGCUACUAUCGAUAUCAUCGACACACUCUUUCAACAUUGUCAGAAGGACACCCGUUUGGAGACUUCGUAGGUUCAUGAGGCCAAGUUUGCGCACCUUACGGCUGCCAUGGCAGUGGCCAGUCAAACUCUAAUAUUAAAGUUGUAGGACAUCUCAGGCCAACGGUUGGCUUGCGAAUAUUUACUUUAUUUCUCACGAUUCACACUUAAGCCGGUCGAUUAUUGAGCUUCCUUGAUAGCUUGCUCAAAUAUUCGGAAUAUAAACUGACCAGAUUAAACUCAAUAUGAUGCAUAAGGGAUUGCUCACAUAAUGUUUCCGUAUACAACGCGUUUGAAAUGUAAAUACCUCUUCCUAUUUUUUUCGUUCGUUAAAUAAAAUAUCGAUGUUUUACUCAAAAGAGCAUUUGCGCUGAACAGCAAUUUCGAUGGU